rnacentral:rRNA from 1 species
CUAAUACAUGAACCAAAGGGACGUUCUCUGUUCCGGCGGUGGGGCAACUCACUGUCAUGGGGCGUCCAGCGAAUGAAUGAAAAUAAAACCAAUGCCUUCACCGGCAGUAACACCCAGAAGUGUUGACUCAAUUCAUUCCGUGCGAAAGCUGGAUUUCUUAUCCGGCGUCUUUUGACGAACAACUGCCCUAUCAGCCAGUGAUGGCCGUGUAGUGGACUGCCAUGGCGUUGACGGGAGCGGGGGAUUAGGGUUCGAUUCCGGAGAGGGAGCCUGAGAAAUAGCUACCACUUCUACGGAGGGCAGCAGGCGCGCAAAUUGCCCAAUGUCAAAAAAAAACGAUGAGGCAGCGAAAAGAAAUAGAGCCGACAGUGCCUAGUGCAUUGUCGUUUUCAAUGGGGGAUAUUUAAACCCAUCCAAAAUCGAGUAACAAUUGGAGGACAAGUCUGGUGCCAGCACCCGCGGUAAUUCCAGCUCCAAAAGCGUAUAUAAAUGCUGUUGCUGUUAAAGGGUUCGUAGUUGAAUUGAGGGCCUUUGAGGCGCAAUGGUUUGUCCCGUCCACCUCGGAUUG